GGCUGGGAAGGACGAAGCUUCUAGGAAUUAUUGUGUGUGUGUAUGUGUGAGUUUACGUGUGUGUAAGCGUUGGCUAAGUGAAGAGGGUAAGUGUGAAGAGAGCUGACUGUGUAGGCUGCUCCUUUUCCUCUCUGUUUUUUCUUCAAGAAAAGCUCUGACAGCUGCAGGUUUGAUUUCUCGGGUUGUCAAAAGUCAUCUUUGUUAGUCCUCCGCUCCAAAUGAAUGGCAGCGGAUUAGGGGGGAAAAAAAGAGGCGUGUUCACACAUGGAGCCGUAGGUGGGCUUUGCCUCGAGUGGUUUCCAUAAAGAAAAAGGAAAAAAAAUCACACAACAUUACUCCAGGGGCCUCUGAAAGGAAAAAGAAAAUCGCACAUUACUCCAGAGGCACCCAUUGUCUUACCUACUAAAACCCAGCAUAUCAGAUGCCUACAGAUGCCCCCCCUCCUGCAUCUGCACAUAUAGCUGAGAGCCUGCAUAGAAAGAUACAAAUUGUCUCUCGUGCUGUGAGGUUGCUGGAACAUAAAUUGAGGGGAGAGGCAUUGUUGUCAGUGAGUAAUAUACUUAGCAUUAUUCAUAAAGAAGAGAGGAGAUUAAAAGAGGUUGGCUGGAGUUGAAAAAAGGCACUUGACUGCAGAGCUGACACAGCAGUUACAUAUGGCCUAAUGUUGGUACUUUUAUCGGCUGCAAUUGUCAGGAGAAUAUUUAUAUCCCUGAGGUUGUUUCUACUGUGCACGGCUUUGAAGUGAUAUAGAAAAAAUAAAUGACUAGAAUAAUCGUGCAUCUCUAUCAAAUCUGACUCUAGCUGGUACAAACAACUGAGCUAAUUCAUUGCUGCUAAACUUUUGUGCAGCUGAUUGAAAUUGUGGUAUUGAUUUUAUGUUUCACCAUUAAAGUUCUUGCAUUUACUAUUUGGUAUUAGAUGUUUUUUUUUCUGUUUAUUUAGAUCAAACAAAUUUUAAACAGUGUACAAUACUGUAAAACAUGCCCACAUUUUAUUAGUAAUAAAAGAUUUUUAAUAAAAUCAAGCAAAUCGUAAGUAAGUCAUUCAUGGUUUUACAUAUUUUCUGCUUGUUUUUUUUUAGGCUCACUUGUUUUGUGUGAUUUUUUUCUCUCUCUUUUAAAGGCACUGUAAGGAGUUUCAUGUUCUGCUCAUUCUGGUGAUCCCAUUGGACAAAAUCACUCAGAGACCGUUUUCAGGAAAGAGGACAACAUUUGCUAUAUGUUUUUUGUUGUAGAUACAGAUCAAUGAGACACAUCUCUUUAA